rnacentral:rRNA from 1 species
UACGGGGGGGAGCAAGCGUUGUUCGGAUUUACUGGGCGUAAAGGGCGCGUAGGCGGCACGGCAAGUCAGGAGUGAAAGCCCUGGGCUCAACCCGGGAACUGCUUUUGAAACUGCCGAGCUAGAGUGCGGAAGGGGCAACUGGAAUUCCCAGUGUAGCGGUGAAAUGCGUAGAUAUCGAGAGGAACACCUGCGGCGAAGGCGGGUUGCUGGGCUGACACUGACGCUGAUGCGCGAAAGCGUGGGGAGCGAACAGG